rnacentral:misc_RNA from 1 species
CGUUUCUUCGGCGAACUCCUCGCGAUCUCUUCUCGAAAUCGAGCUUUUUGUAUUUGAAGGGAUUUAGGGAUCCGAAAAUUUAAAGGAAAAUGGCAAGCACAGCAUGUUUUAUGAUUGUAAGCAGGAAUGAUAUCCCUAUCUACGAAGCUGAAGUUGGCACUGCGCCAAAGAAAGAAGAUGCUGCUCAUCAGCACCAGUUUAUAUUACAUGCAGCAUUGGAUAUUGUCCAGGACCUUGCAUGGACUACAAGUGCUAUGUUCUUGAAAUCAAUUGACAGAUUCAAUGAUUUGGUGGUUUCUGUUUACGUCACUGCUGGUCAUACGCGAUUGAUGCUGCUUCAUGACUCUCGCAAUGAUGAUGGGAUAAAAAGCUUCUUCCAGGAGGUCCAUGAACUAUAUAUAAAGAUACUUUUGAAUCCUCUGUAUUUGCCAGGAUCUCGCAUCACAUCCUCUCACUUUGAUACUAAAGUUAGAGCCCUUGCAAGAAAGUACCUCUGAGCCAAACUAUGGACCAAAGCUAAACAAGAAUCAUAUUGCAUUCAAAGUUCGUUCCUUGUAAAAUUGAUUCGCUAUUGAUGACUGGUUAUUGUGUUUGGAGUGAUCAUAUUUCUCAUGGUAAAUGAUAAGUUGACUACUGGACCUUCUCAUAUUAUAUAACCGCAACAAGUGGUGAUAAACUGAGCCUAGUUUGUAGGAGUAAUUGUUUUGUUAUAUCCUAGUCUACUACAAUGGAUCCAUUGCAUCUAUAUGCCAUGCUAUUGAGGCAAGUGAAGCAACUAACUAGCUCUUGGCUUUCGAAGACUUG